GUGAAUCAUCAAAUUUUUGAACGCAAAUUGCACUUUCUGGUAAUACGGAGAGUAUUUGUGUGUCAGGGUAUGAUAAAUAAAAAUCGGUGUUGUUGCUGCUUUUCGUUGUUACGCGACGGAAUUGAGUUGUCUUACCUUCGGUUAAGUGACUUAAAAUUUUGCAUUAUUUUCGAAUGUAUUUAAAUUUCUUACGUAUGUUUGAAAUAUUGAAUACUUUAUUAGGUUCU
rnacentral:misc_RNA from 1 species